UUGUCCUACGGGACGCAGCAGUAGGGAAUCUUCCACAAUGGGCGAAAGCCUGAUGGAGCAACGUCGCGUGGGUGAAGAAGGUCUUCGGAUCGUAAAACCCUGUUGUUAGAGAAGAAAGUGCGUGAGAGUAACUGUUCACGUUUCGACGGUAUCUAACCAGAAAGCCACGGCUAACUACGUGCCAGCGGCCGCGGUAAUACGUAGGUGGCAAGCGUUAUCCGGAUUUAUUGGGCGUAAAGAGAACGCAGGCGGUCUUUUAAGUCUGAUGUGAAAGCCUUCGGCUUAACCGGAGUAGUGCCUUGGAA
rnacentral:rRNA from 1 species